rnacentral:lncRNA from 1 species
CUAGGGCUAAGGUUUUUUUUUACCAAGACUUCAUAUAUUAAAAGAAAAGAGAGAGGUGAAGAGAGGAGAAUACACAGCAGCAGAAAAGUUCCGUUUCCCGUAGAUUGAACCGUUGGAUCGUCGUGAUUUUUGGACAGCAGCUACACAGCAUCUGGGAUAAUAUUUUGGACGGUGGAGAUCGGUUUUUGAGGUCCGGAGGUCGGGUUUCGUUGGUCUGGACAGUAGCUAAUUUUCUGGUGAUAUAUUUCUUAUCUUGGCUCUAUUUUGAUUCCAUACACCUUGAUGUGCUUACUUCCAAGGAUAUGAUGAUUUUGUAUGCCUCUAGUAUUAUCUAGAGAAGACUUUGUAUUGCUC